rnacentral:rRNA from 1 species
UACGGGGGGGCAAGCGUUGUUCGGAAUUACUGGGCGUAAAGGGCGCGUAGGCGGCCUUCUAAGUCGGACGUGAAAUCCCUCGGCUCAACCGAGGAACUGCGUCCGAUACUGAAAGGCUUGAAUCCGGGAGAGGGAUGUGGAAUUCCAGGUGUAGCGGUGAAAUGCGUAGAUAUCUGGAGGAACACCGGUGGCGAAGGCGGCAUCCUGGACCGGCAUUGACGCUGAGGCGCGAAAGCUAGGGGAGCAAACGGG